rnacentral:rRNA from 1 species
UUAAGCGACUAAGCGUACACGGUGGAUGCCCUGGCAGUCAGAGGCGAUGAAGGACGUGCUAAUCUGCGAAAAGCGUCGGUAAGGUGAUAUGAACCGUUACAGCCGGCGAUGUCCGAAUGGGGAAACCCAGUGCAAUUCGUUGCACUAUCGUUAACUGAAUACAUAGGUUAACGAGGCGAACCGGGGGAACUGAAACAUCUAAGUACCCCGAGGAAAAGAAAUCAACCGAGAUUCCCCCAGUAGCGGCGAGCGAACGGGGAGCAGCCCAGAGUCUGAAUCAGCUUGUGUGUUAGUGGAACGGUCUGGAAAGUCCGACGGUACAGGGUGAUAGUCCCGUACACCAAAAUGCACAGGUUGUGAACUCGAAGAGUAGGGCGGGACACGUGGUAUCCUGUCUGAAUAUGGGGGGACCAUCCUCCAAGGCUAAAUACUCCUGACUGACCGAUAGUGAACCAGUACCGUGAGGGAAAGGCGAAAAGAACCCCGGCGAGGGGAGUGAAAAAGAACCUGAAACCGUGUACGUACAAGCAGUGGGAGCACCUUCGGGUGUGACUGCGUACCUUUUGUAUAAUGGGUCAGCGACUUAUAUUCUGUAGCAAGGUUAACCGUAUAGGGGAGCCGCAGGGAAACCGAGUCUUAACUGGGCGUUAAGUUGCAGGGUAUAGACCCGAAACCCGGUGAUCUAGCCAUGGGCAGGUUGAAGGUUGGGUAACACUAACUGGAGGACCGAACCGACUAAUGUUGAAAAAUUAGCGGAUGACUUGUGGCUGGGGGUGAAAGGCCAAUCAAACCGGGAGAUAGCUGGUUCUCCCCGAAAGCUAUUUAGGUAGCGCCUCGUGAAUUCAUCUUCGGGGGUAGAGCACUGUUUCGGCUAGGGGGUCAUCCCGACUUACCAACCCGAUGCAAACUACGAAUACCGAAGAAUGUUAUCACGGGAGACACACGGCGGGUGCUAACGUCCGUCGUGAAGAGGGAAACAACCCAGACCGCCAGCUAAGGUCCCAAAGUCAUGGUUAAGUGGGAAACGAUGUGGGAAGGCACAGACAGCCAGGAUGUUGGCUUAGAAGCAGCCAUCAUUUAAAGAAAGCGUAAUAGCUCACUGGUCGAGUCGGCCUGCGCGGAAGAUGUAACGGGGCUAAACCAUGCACCGAAGCUGCGGCAGCGACACUAUGUGUUGUUGGGUAGGGGAGCGUUCUGUAAGCCUGCGAAGGUGACCUGUGAGGGUUGCUGGAGGUAUCAGAAGUGCGAAUGCUGACAUAAGUAACGAUAAAGCGGGUGAAAAGCCCGCUCGCCGGAAGACCAAGGGUUCCUGUCCAACGUUAAUCGGGGCAGGGUGAGUCGACCCCUAAGGCGAGGCCGAAAGGCGUAGUCGAUGGGAAACAGGUUAAUAUUCCUGUACUUGGUGUUACUGCGAAGGGGGGACGGAGAAGGCUAUGUUAGCCGGGCGACGGUUGUCCCGGUUUAAGCAUGUAGGCUGAUUGUCCAGGCAAAUCCGGAUAAUCAAGGCUGAGGUGUGAUGACGAGGCACUACGGUGCUGAAGUAACAAAUGCCCUGCUUCCAGGAAAAGCCUCUAAGCAUCAGGUAACAUCAAAUCGUACCCCAAACCGACACAGGUGGUCAGGUAGAGAAUACCAAGGCGCUUGAGAGAACUCGGGUGAAGGAACUAGGCAAAAUGGUGCCGUAACUUCGGGAGAAGGCACGCUGGUGUGUAGGUGAAGUCCCUGCGGAUGGAGCUGAGACCAGUCGAAGAUACCAGCUGGCUGCAACUGUUUAUUAAAAACACAGCACUGUGCAAACACGAAAGUGGACGUAUACGGUGUGACGCCUGCCCGGUGCCGGAAGGUUAAUUGAUGGGGUUAUCCGUAAGGAGAAGCUCUUGAUCGAAGCCCCGGUAAACGGCGGCCGUAACUAUAACGGUCCUAAGGUAGCGAAAUUCCUUGUCGGGUAAGUUCCGACCUGCACGAAUGGCGUAAUGAUGGCCAGGCUGUCUCCACCCGAGACUCAGUGAAAUUGAACUCGCUGUGAAGAUGCAGUGUACCCGCGGCAAGACGGAAAGACCCCGUGAACCUUUACUAUAGCUUGACACUGAACAUUGAGCCUUGAUGUGUAGGAUAGGUGGGAGGCUUUGAAGCGUGGACGCCAGUCUGCGUGGAGCCAACCUUGAAAUACCACCCUUUAAUGUUUGAUGUUCUAACGUUGGCCCCUGACCGGGGUUGCGGACAGUGUCUGGUGGGUAGUUUGACUGGGGCGGUCUCCUCCCAAAGCGUAACGGAGGAGCACGAAGGUUAGCUAAUCCUGGUCGGACAUCAGGAGGUUAGUGCAAUGGCAUAAGCUAGCUUGACUGCGAGCGUGACGGCGCGAGCAGGUGCGAAAGCAGGUCAUAGUGAUCCGGUGGUUCUGAAUGGAAGGGCCAUCGCUCAACGGAUAAAAGGUACUCCGGGGAUAACAGGCUGAUACCGCCCAAGAGUUCAUAUCGACGGCGGUGUUUGGCACCUCGAUGUCGGCUCAUCACAUCCUGGGGCUGAAGUAGGUCCCAAGGGUAUGGCUGUUCGCCAUUUAAAGUGGUACGCGAGCUGGGUUUAGAACGUCGUGAGACAGUUCGGUCCCUAUCUGCCGUGGGCGCUGGAGAAUUGAGGGGGGCUGCUCCUAGUACGAGAGGACCGGAGUGGACGCAUCACUGGUGUUCGGGUUGUCAUGCCAAUGGCACUGCCCGGUAGCUAAAUGCGGAAGAGAUAAGUGCUGAAAGCAUCUAAGCACGAAACUUGCCCCGAGAUGAGUUCUCCCUGAGACUUUAAGUCUCCUGAAGGAACGUUGAAGACGACGACGUUGAUAGGCCGGGUGUGUAAGCGCAGCGAUGCGUUGAGCUAACCGGUACUAAUGAACCGUGAGGCUUAACCU